rnacentral:rRNA from 1 species
CACUUGUGCCGUUGUAUUCUGAAGUUAGGAUUCUCGAAAACGACACCUAAGUUUUCUGGAAAGGAAUGCCACAGAGGGUGAUAGCCCCGUACGGUGUUGACUCGAUACAGAGUCCUAACAUGGAGUCGAGUUGUUUGGGAAUGCAGCUCAAAUGGGUGGUAUGCUCCAUCUAAGGCUAAAUAUUUGCGAGAGACCGAUAGCGAACAAGUACUGUGAAGGAAAGAUGAAAAGAACUUUGAAAAGAGAGUGAAAUAGUACGUGAAAUUGUUGAAAUGGAAGGGUAGGCCGCUAACCAUGUAGGACCGUGUUUGGGGGGAAGAUAAAUGCUGUAGAAUGUGGCUCCUCGGAGUGUUAUAGCUA